CCUACGUGAGGCAGCAGUGGGGAAUAUUGCGCAAUGGGCGAAAGCCUGACGCAGCGACGCCGCGUGAGGGAUGAAGGUCUUCGGAUCGUAAACCUCUGUCAGCAGGGAAGAACGGUCACUGUGCUAAUCAGCAGUGAAUUGACGGUACCUGCAAAGGAAGCACCGGCUAACUCCGUGCCAGCAGCCGCGGUAAUACGGAGGGUGUGAGCGUUAAUCGGAAUUACUGGGCGUAAAGCGCUCGUAGGCGGUAUGUCAAGUCAAGGGUGAAAUCCCCGCGCUCAACGUGGGAACUGCCUUUGAAACUGGCAAACUGGAGUGUGUGAGAGGAUAGUGGAAUUCCAGGUGUAGGAGUGAAAUCCGUAGAGAUCUGGAGGAACAUCAGUGGCGAAGGCGACUAUCUGGCACAUAACUGACGCUGAGGAGCGAAAGCGUGGGUAGCAAACAGGAUUAGAUACCCCUGUAGUC
rnacentral:rRNA from 1 species